rnacentral:rRNA from 1 species
ACGAAGUUGGAUUCGCUAGUAAUCGCGCAUCAGCCAUGGCGCGGUGAAUACGUUCCCGGGCCUUGUACACACCGCCCGUCAAGCCAUGGGAGCCGGGGGCGCCUGAAGUCCGGGACCGCGAGGACCGGCCUAGGGCGAAACUGGUAACUGGGGUGAAGUCGUAACAAGGUACC